AACAGCUCAAAUUUGAAAUCUGGCUCACGCCCGAAUUGUAAUUUGUAGAGGACGCAUUUGGCGCGGCCCCUUCCGAGUUCCCUGGAACGGGACGCCUUAGAGGGUGAGAGCCCCGUACGGUCGGAAGCCUAGCCUCUGUAUUGCUCCUUCGACGAGUCGAGUAGUUUGGGAAUGCUGCUCUAAAUGGGAGGUAAAUUUCUUCUAAAGCUAAAUACCGGCCAGAGACCGAUAGCGCACAAGUAGAGUGAUCGAAAGAUGAAAAGCACUUUGAAAAGAGGGUUAAACAGCACGUGAAAUUGUUGAAAGGGAAGCGUUUGCGACCAGACUUUUUCCGGGCGGAUCAUCCGGGGUUUUCCCCGGUGCACUUCGCCCGGUCGAGGCCAGCAUCGGUUUGGGGAGGGGGAUAAAAGCUUAGGGAACGUGGCUCCUCCGGGAGUGUUAUAGCCCUUCGUAUAAUACCCCUCCGCGGACCGAGGAACGCGCUCUGCAAGGAUGCUGGCGUAAUGGUCGUCAACGACCCGUCUUGAAACACGGACCAAGGAGUCGAACAUUUGUGCGAGUGUUAGGGUGUCAAACCCCUGCGCGUAAUGAAAGUGAACGGAGGUGAGAGCCCUUCGGGGUGCAUCAUCGACCGAUCCUGAUGUUUUCGGAUGGAUUUGAGUAAGAGCAUAACUGUUCGGACCCGAAAGAUGGUGAACUAUGCGUGGAUAGGGUGAAGCCAGAGGAAACUCUGGUGGAGGCUCGCAGCGGUUCUGACGUGCAAAUCGAUCGUCAAAUCUGCGCAUGGGGGCGAAAGACUUAUCGAACCAUCUAGUAGCUGGUUACCGCCGAAGUUUCCCUCAGGAUAGCAGUGUUGUCUUUAGUUUUAUGAGGUAAAGCGAAUGAUUAGGGACUCGGGGGCGAUAUAUAGCCUUCAUCCAUUCUCAAACUUUAAAUAUGUAAGAAGCCCUUGUUGCUUAAUUGAACGUGGGCAUUCGAAUAUUCCAACACUAGUGGGCCAUUUUUGGUAAGCAGAACUGGCGAUGCGGGAUGAACCGAACGCGGGGUUAAGGUGCCAGAGUGGACGCUCAUCAGACACCACAAAAGGUGUUAGUACAUCUAGACAGCAGGACGGUGGCCAUGGAAGUCGGAAUCCGCUAAGGACUGUGUAACAACUCACCUGCCGAAUGUACUAGCCCUGAAAAUGGAUGGCGCUCAAGCGUCUCACCCAUACCUCGCCCCUA
rnacentral:rRNA from 1 species